GCCAGCGUGGCAUAGUGGUUUGAUGCUGACUACGACUCUGGAGACCAGGGUUCGAUUCCCAGCUUGGCC